ensembl:lncRNA
AUGAGGGAGCAGGGGAAAACAAAAAGACGUGGGGAUGCUCGUAUUUCGUGGCCAAAGUUUCCUUCCUUCGGAAAAGGACGAAAGUCUCGUUUUACAAGGUCUCACAGUUCCUCUGAAGCCGAUGAGCAGAGAAAGCUUGAGCUGAGUCCAACAACAAGCGACACAGAGUCACCGAUAAAAUCCCAGGACGCUCUAAAAGGAAAGAAGAAGCAUAAAUUAAAGCUCUCUGCUCUGAAAAAGAGAGGCCGCAUCAGUUCAUCUGAAGACACGGAAGCUCCAACCACCGCCCCCAUCAGUGGAGACGCUCAGCAAGCACAGGAAUCAGACAUGCUCUCACCAGAGUCCCUGGAAGGCCUCAUAGCAGAGACAGCAGAAGGUAAUAAGACAGAGGACUUAAAGAUGGACAAGGAAACAGAACAAAACAACCAGACAGACCCAAUUCUUCCUCAAACGGUCGAGCUCAUCAGCUUAGAUAGCACUUUGAAAACAGAAGACCCCACUGUGUGUCCAACCGACCACAAAAGCCCCUCUGAAGCCAAGCCUACUGACGGGAAGAAAAAGAAGACAGAUAGGUUGGAGUUAAAGAUGAAGAUUUUGGGGAAGGACAGGUUGCACAAAAAAGAUGCCAAGGUAGUUUCGUCACCAAAAAGGCUAAAAACUCUUGGAGCAAGUCUUGAAAAGGAACAUCAACCGGAAAGUGAAGAUUCACAAAAACCAACUGUUGAAAAACACACAACUGAGGGCACAAAGAUCAUAGAAGAUCCUUAUGAGAGGCUUUCAAAAGGUGCUGGUUCUACUGCAGAACUUCCCAAGAGAGAAGACAUUAUGAUACCAGGCAUGGAGGACAUGUCCUUGAGCACAGCCGCAGGGGUUAAAGAGCCUUUCAGAGAUGACAGUGAGGAAAAUCACUCAGAAGCGGUCCAACUGUCAUUUGAUGUUAAGAGCGUGAAGGAGGCGGUUUCAAAGCUGCCUGGAUUUAAGUUGCCUCAAGUUGACACGUCUGGGGUUCUGAUUCCCGAAGACAUUACUGUGAUCGAUGCAAACGCUCAGAGGAUUUCUGUGAAAACGCCCACCAAAGUGUCAGAAACCAAAGCAAAGCAGGAGGCACAGCAGGCAACAUCUGACCGGAAGGAAACCUCCUUUCCUACAGGGAAAACAGCAACAACAGCAUCUGCUGAUUUAACCUCAGAGGGGCUUUUAGGAGAGACCACAGGAGAUGCCACAGAACCUCAAAAUAAAACCAAAAGUCAGUCAAAAGAAGACGACACGACCCACACCUUCAAAAGAGAACAGAUCACAGUAUCUUGGGUGGAAACUCCUCAAAAGCUAUCAAUUCUUCAUAAGCAUGGAACUGAAAAAGCAAGCAGCACAACUGAUGUGACAUCAGAAAAUGACUCAGUGAAAGAGUCUAACCAAAUAACAGACCGCACAACCAUGAUAAGAGACAGCUUCAGGACAGGAACCCAAGAUACAAGAACAUCUGACUUUAGGACGACUUUAACAAACCAAGAGUUGACAGCCAGAACAGACAUCCGCAGCAUCCAAACAUCUGAAAUGAGUGGCAUUAAGGUGGAUUCCUUGGUAGAUGGGUCCACAGCCAAAAAGGACAGCAGCUGC